rnacentral:tRNA from 1 species
GCCCCUAUGGCCUAGUGGUAUGGCAUCGUUCUUAUGUAGCGAAGUGCCCCGGUUCGAUCCCGGGUGGGGGCA